rnacentral:tRNA from 1 species
GUAUGUAGCUCAGUGGUAGAAUGCCUGCCUUGCAUGUGUGAGGCACUGGGUUUGAUCCUCAGCACCACA